AGGAAAAAAAAGAAAAAGAAAGCUGAGGUGCUAAACAACUAGUGUGACAGGGCUAGUUCCAAUUAUUCCAAUGCAUACUGUCUCCUGAGUCUAUAAUCAUAACUAAACCAUUUCAGGCAGAGAGAAAAAGGGAAUAUAGUGGCAAGAAAGCAAAUCACAUAGCAAGAGAGUGACAGAGGGUAAAUCACUACAUCAACAGAGAGUGAUGUAGCAAAGGGAGGAAGGGCUGGGAAAACUGCAUGAGGGCGGAUUACAGAAAGCUCUGAAUGCCAUUCUUGGUAGGAUAAGAUGUGAGAACUGAACCCCAACUGAGAAGGUGCCAAUUAAUUCAGGUGGCACUGACCUGUGAGGCUGAGGAGGUCUUAAUCACCAGAACACUAAAUGCUCAUUAUCCAACCUUUUAAUUAGCAAAGAAACUACCCCAUCUGGAAAAGUUUUCAGCAAAGAACCAAGAUUUGAUCAUGCUGUUAAGGAAAAAAAAAAAGAAAAAGAAAAGAAAUAAACAAUCCUCUGAUCUCUCCCAGGCAACAAAUCUUGUAUUUCAGAUGUAUGUUUUCUUAUCUUCCAGGUCCCCAUUGGAGAGAAAAUGAGGAAAAGGAAGAACAGAUGGGAAUAAAAGCAGAAGGAAUCAUUUCCAUUCCCCAUGGAGCAGAAUUUUGGAAAGCAAAUUCAACAAAUUUUGCAAGGUACUGGGGGAAAUGUGGCUACUACACGACAUAAAAGACAACUUUCCUGUCUUCUAAGAACUUACAGUUUAGCAUGAAAGUGCAACAUGGUUUUGUUGAAUAGUGUGUGGCUAUCCAGGACUGGAAGAAAGCAAAACACCAAUCAAUAAGAGCAACAAAACUGGAAAUCCACAAGACGUGUGGCCUGAAACAUGUAUAAUUUUUAAUUCACAAUUUACUUAAAAGAUUGAUUCUCCCAAAACAAAGAACUGAAAUAAGUGAUUAAUUGAAGUCUUACUGUGCAGAAAAAUGAAUACAGUGCUGAUAUGUCUUUAAGAUUUCUCCACAACCAACAGAGAAGAAAAGGAACUUCUGGACCCUGAAGUAAAUCUUAUUUUUAUCUGGGGGAUUAUUUGGACAUAGCUGCUACAGCCAAAAAAAGAUUAACCCAUACUAUGCCCACCUCCCACAGGCUCUACAACCAUUCCAAAGAAAAACAGGAAUUGGCUAACUGUAUUGCUCUAUUUAUGCCAUCUUUUUACCUAAAUACUAUGACUAACUUGAAGUAUGGUUUCCAAAAACUUCUUAUGAGGAAACAGAUAAAUAUGGAACGAUGUAUGCAGAAAGAUGUUUACUGCAGCAAUGCCUAAGAUAAAGACUCAAAACAAUAUAAACAUCCAUCAGGAGACGACUGCUUAAGUAUAUUACAGUAACACACUGAACUAUCAUCCAGCCAAUAAACAGAGUAAGUUAGAUGUACUAACAAGAAACGAUGUCCAUCUGUUGCCCAUGUGUCCAUUAAAUAUUGCUAAGAAAAAGUAGGAUGCAAAUAGUAUGUAUAACAUGAACUAAUUUUUAACUUUGUAUGUAUGUUUGAGAAAGAGAAAAGCAUAAAAAUGGUGAAUCAAAUUAACAGUGAUUUUUCUGUGGAAGACUGGGAUUGUAGUGAAUCUUUCAUUUUCUCCCUAUGCACUUCUGAAUGGCUUGGAUUUUGUUACAAUGAGUAUGUACUGUUUUUAUAACUAGAAAAACGAUAUUUCUAUCAGAAAAGGAAGAUAAAGAGAC